GACAGAGGGUGCGAACGUUGUUCGGAAUUACUGGGCGUAAAGGGCUCGUAGGUGGCCAACUAAGUCAGACGUGAAAUCCCUCGGCUUAACCGGGGAACUGCGUCUGAUACUGGUUGGCUUGAGUUUGGGAGAGGGAUGCGGAAUUCCAGGUGUAGCGGUGAAAUGCGCAGAUAUCAGGAGGAACACCGGUGGCGAAGGCGGAUCUCUGGGCCAUUACUGACGCUGAGGAGCGAAAGCGUGGGGAGCGAACAGG
rnacentral:rRNA from 1 species